rnacentral:tRNA from 1 species
UCCCUGGUGGCUCAGAUGGUAAAGCGUCUGCCUUCAAUGCAGGAGACCUGGGUUCGAUCCCUGGUUCGGGAA